rnacentral:rRNA from 1 species
CCUACGGGAGGCAGCAGUGAGGAAUAUUGGUCAAUGGACGAGAGUCUGAACCAGCCAAGUAGCGUGAAGGAUGACUGCCCUAUGGGUUGUAAACUUCUUUUAUAUGGGAAUAAAAUGAUUCACGUGUGGCUUAUUGUAUGUACCAUAUGAAUAAGGACCGGCUAAUUCCGUGCCAGCAGCCGCGGUAAUACGGAGGGUCCGAGCGUUAUCCGGAUUUAUUGGGUUUAAAGGGAGAGUAGGUGGGUUGUUAAGUCAGUUGUGAAAGUUCGCGGCUCAACCGUGGAAUUGCAGUUGAAACUGGCAGUCUUGAGUGCAGUAGAGGUAGGCGGAAUUCGUGGUGUAGCGGUGAAAUGCUUAGAUAUCACGAAGAACUCCGAUUGCGAAGGCAGCUCACUGGACUGCAACUGACGCUGAGGCUCGAAAGUGUGGGUAUCAAACAGGAUUAGAUACCCGGGUAGUC